rnacentral:rRNA from 1 species
AGUGAACGCUGGCGGUAGGCCUAAUACAUGCAAGUCGAACGGCAGCACAGUAAGAGCUUGCUCUUACGGGUGGCGAGUGGCGGACGGGUGAGGAAUACAUCGGAAUCUACUUUUUCGUGGGGGAUAACGUAGGGAAACUUACGCUAAUACCGCAUACGACCUACGGGUGAAAGCAGUGGAUCUUCUGACCUUGCGCGAUUGAAUGAGCCGAUGUCGGAUUAGCUAGUUGGCGGGGUAAAGGCCCACCAAGGCGACGAUCCGUAGCUGGUCUGAGAGGAUGGUCAGCCACACUGGAACUGGGACACGGUCCAGGCGCCUACGGGAGGCAGCAGUGGGGAAUAUUGGACAAUGGGCGCAAGCAUGAUCCAGCCAUACCGCGUGGGUGAAGAAGGCCUUGGGGUUGUGAAGCCGUUUUGUUGGGAAAGAAAAGCAGCAGGUUAAUACCCAGCUGUUCUGACGGUACCCAAAGAAUAAGCACCGGCUAACUUCGUG